rnacentral:rRNA from 1 species
AUGCAGUCGAGGGGUAACAGGGAUUAGUUUACUAAUUUGCUGACGACCGGCGCACGGGUGAGUAACGCGUAUACAAUUUACCUUUUACAGGAGGAUAGCCCAGAGAAAUUUGGAUUAAUACUCCAUGGUAUUAUCGGAUCGCAUGGUUUGAUAAUUAAAGUUUCGGUGGUAGAAGAUGAGUAUGCGUCCUAUUAGCUGGUUGGUAAGGUAACGGCUUACCAAGGCGACGAUAGGUAGGGGUCCUGAGAGGGAGAUCCCCCACACUGGUACUGAGACACGGACCAGACUCCUACGGGAGGCAGCAGUGAGGAAUAUUGGUCAAUGGAGGCAACUCUGAA